ACUGGCAGGACAGCGGAAGGGGGAGCUAGGUAGAGGGGGAGGCAGGCUGCUGAUAAGAGUUGAGGCUGGGCACUUGACAAAAGCAAACCUCCUGAGAAAAACCAUCAUAUCAUGGGCUAAAAUCACUCUUAACCCAAUGGAUCUGUCUGUCUGAGGGUGGAUAACAUGUAUAGAAGAAAAAAAGGAAUUAUAUCGUAAAAACGGGGGAAAACUAAAUUUAUUUUACGUCACCUUCCGAGGUAAGGUGGGACAUAUUGACAGACAACAAUUUGAACAAAUAAUAUUGUCUCACACCUGCACCUCAACUAUUUGACCAUCACCAGCACUUGUUUGACAGAUGGGGUCAUCCCAAAACAAUGCCAAUGUCUGUCAUGUCCCUGCUACUACCGUAGGGCAGGCAGGAGGUGGUGCAUUUGAUUAGAACAACGUUUUGACCGACGACAUUUCACCAUACUGGAAUAUAAUGGGGAUUAGGCCAAGCUGCUCAGUGGUUUGAUGUGACCACAACACGUAAACAAAUCCUAAAUAUUGACAGACUCUGGUUUGGCAUUUAAAAGACUGCGCUCAUCCAUCAACAAGACCCUGGAAUGACCCCUGCUCUGCGACUGUAGCAGCCAACUUUUAAACGUGCCGUGUGUUAUCCUAACCGUACAUAUGGCCCCCCCCCCUAACUGGAUCUAGGACUUGGCUGUGUUGAAAACCUGACAGAAACCAGAACAAUGGCGUGAAGCCAAAGCACCAAAAACCCAGCAACCAGACAGUAGAAUACCUCCUGACUAAAAGCACACUGGAGGUGAAGGACUAAAAACAGCGCAGAACGAAGGACCCCUCUCCCUCCACCAGGAGAUCAGCCCUGUGUUGCCCUCAACUUUAACCAAGCAGAUCUUCGCAGCUUUCUUCAAAUGACCCCUGCGCUUUAGAAAGUUCUUCCACUAUGACAGAGCAGAUGAAAGAAAAUCAGCCAGUCACCUAAUCAUUCACAUACCAUUUUGUUUGACAUUGGCAUGUACCAACAGACCCGGCGAGUGUGUUGUGGGCUUCAAACGUGGGAUGUAAACGCACAGCAACUCAAGCAGCCCCUUAUAUGUAUUAAAAGAUGUCAAAUUAUUUAAAGGUAGCCCAUGUAAAAUAUAUAAAGCUUCAUAAAUGUGGCAAUUACCCCCAUUUUGUUGCCCUUCCUUCACCGUCACAUGUAGAUGUAUGCAGGUGUCAUGCGUCUGGUAGAAUGAACAGGUUUUUAACUGCCAGUUCCACUCAAUCCAAUCUUUUCAUGGGUCCGGUGAUAAGCAUAGUUCAUAGCUCCCUUCAUCAUUUUAUGGACCAAC
ensembl:lncRNA